AUUGAACGCUGGCGGCAGGCCUAACACAUGCAAGUCGAGCGGAGCGGGGGGCGGGUGAGUAAGGCCUAGGAAUGUGCCUGGUAGAGGGGGAUAACGUACGGAAACGGGCGCUAAUAUCGCAUACUCUCUGAUGAGCCUAGGUCGGAUUAGCUAGUUGGUGGGGUAACGGCCUACCAAGGCGACGAUCCGUAACUGGUCUGAGAGGAUGAUCAGUCACACUGGAACUGAGACACGGUCCAGACUCCUACGGGAGGCAGCAGUGGGGAAUAUUGGACAAUGGGCGAAAGCCUGAUGCAGCCAUGCCGCGUGUGUGAAGAAGGUCUUAGGAGUGUAAAGCACUUUAAGUUGGGAGGCGUUACCAACAGAAUAAGCACCGGCUAACUUCGUGCCAGCCGCCGCGGUAAUUC
rnacentral:rRNA from 1 species